GCCAGGCGUGGUGGCUCACGCCUGUAAUCCCAGCACUUUGGGAGGCCGAGGCGGGUGGAUCACCUGAGGUCAGGAGUUUGAGACCAGCCUGGCCAACAUGGUGAAACCCCGUCUCUA
ensembl:misc_RNA Metazoa_SRP Metazoan signal recognition particle RNA